ACCCAGAGAGGGACUGCAGCCCUCGGUCCUGCUGCUGGGGCGUGAGCUCUCGUCUGAGUCAGCCUGGAAGAGACCCCUCUCCAGAGAGGUUGUGAUGACUGCAGAUCUGGCUGUCAUCUGGACAGCAGCCUGAGCGACAGCCUGGGCCACAGGGCCCACGGAGUGGUGGCCAGGCUCCUGAGCCACAGACACGGUGAGUCCUGAAGGCUAAGGACUGAAUCCGGUCCCUCUCAAAUCUGCAUGUUGAAGGCCUACCCUGCACUGUGGUUAUAUUUGGAGAUGUAGCCUUUAGGGAGGUAAUUGAGAUUAAAACUGAGGUCCAAGGGGGAGCCUGAUCUGCUAGGACUGGUGCCCUUGCCAGAGGAGCGAGACGGACACCAGGGCUGCACGUGGAGAGAAAUGUGCAUGAGGACGGUGAGAAGGUGGCCCACGGGAGAGACCGUGAGAGGAAGUGAACCUGCUGAUACCCUCAUCUCGGUUUUCUAGCUUCCAGAAACCUGAGAGAAUAAAUAAACUUCCAGUCCGUGGUGCCCUGUUAUGAUACCCUCAGCUGACUGAUACAAGCUGCUCAGUUUGGGGGUCAUUUGUUACACAGCAAAGGACGACAAAUACAACCAUCAGCCGACACUGCACUCCCAUUCCCUCUGGGCUGGGAGCCGGGUAGAACAAGACCAAAGCCCUGGCCCAUAAGAAUGGAUCUCAGUCCACACGGAAAGACAAACACAGAAGAUGAAGUAAAAGGCUAGGGUGGGAGAAGACCCCUCAGGACGAAGACACCGCUUGGGGAGACGUGGAUGCAGGAGAGACCACGACACAUGGUCCUGCCCGCUCUGUGCUCCCCCUGGGGACACAGGCUCGGCCUUCUCAGAUACAGCAUCCUCUCCACGUUGUAGCUGAUGCGUGGACGCCGAAAGAGGUUAUGUUGGCUGAGGUCCCGAAGCUCAUCCCGGAGUCGCCAGGAUUCACGGGCAGGUCUGCAAGGGGAGAAGAGAAGAGCUCCUUGGAGGGUGUCAGCUCCUCAGGGGUCAGGCAGAGGGAGAAGCCAGGAGGGACACAGAGACACCGUGGGAAUGAUAGGAGGAGAUUAAUAUUUCCCCAGAAUCAAAGAUAAGAGCUUUUCUCGGUUGGAAUCGUGUUCGAUGCCCAAGACAGCCGAGACCUCAGGAUGAAGCCCCCCGGCCCCAAGAGCAACCUCCAUUGGCAGCGGGGUCAUUGCUGAUGUGACUGGUUAAGGGGCAGGAGGAGAGCGAGCCCUGAUGAGCCCUGAAGGAGGCGCCUGUGCAGACGGACAAGGAGGAGCCCCUCGCGGACCCCAGCGGAGACCGAGGUCAGGAAGGGCGGGGCACAGGGCGGCUGGGGCUUCUGGAAGCUGAAAGCGGCAAGAGGUUCUCGGGCAGGCUUCAGAGGGAGCCCCGCCUUCCUGAAGCCUUGAUCUUGGACAGUAAGAGAAUAGACCUCUGCUGUUUCACCCCACUCCCCAGCCCCAAAUCCCCCAUCCUCACAGCAAGAAUCCCAGUGUCUUACUUAAAGAAGACAAGGCGUGAAAGCAUUCAAAUGAAGACCUUCGUUAACUUCUUAUACAUACUGCACUACGCUUCGUCUUUAAAGGUCAGACAGUUUGCUUCAGAAAACAAAGAGAGAUUGAGUCUUGCAACAGUUUCGUGGCCAUCUUGGCCCAGUUUUCUCAUCGUUAAAACAUCGCCGGGACUCGACGGCUGGCCUUCACGCCCCCCACACAGCCCAGCCGCUCACACCCCAUCAUCCGUGUUUGAUUUUUACCCCAUCUGCAUCCAGCGAGGAUGUGAGGCCGUGGCAUCAAAACAGCAUCAGGUUUUACGCCUUCCUAGCCCGGGAAGCCUGCAAAGACGAGACAGUAAAAUAUGUGCUAAUAAAUGGUUCUGCGUCUACUGCCUGCUGCAAGGGUGAUCAAUUUUUGUGACUCGUGUAUGAAGAUGUAUCUCUCUAAUACCGGGGACUCGGCUUCUUUAUUUAUUUCAUCAAUUUCGUUCUUUUGUUUUCCCGGCGAUUUCUAGGAAUGAUGAACGGAUGGCGGUUUAGCACAAACUGUGAACCUGCGCCCCCCCCACCCCCCCUCNNNNNNNNNNNNNNNNNNNUGGCUCCCCGGGUGCAGCUUAGAGAGUCAUGGAUGGUGGAGGGUGUAUGCUGGUUCUCUCCGCCGUCUGUCUCUCUGACUCCAGGCGGCACUCUGGUUCUCGACGGGCUGCAGGGGACACAUCAGUUUUUGGUGACUCGGGAAGAGAGCACCAUUCAGGGCCAGCAGGUCUGCUCUCCAGCCCUGCUCUGUCAUUGAGCAAGACGGCGAAGCUGGGAAUUGAGAUGCUGCCCUGAGCAGGUGGGGCAUCCCCCACCUGAUUCUCUCCUUUCCAGCUCAUUCCUCAAAGGCACGUUCAAAUCCAUUGCCGCUUAUCACUUCAUAUACUUUUUGCUUCACUGUUCGACUAAUUAACCAAAUGAUAAGUUGAUGUGAUAUCUUAUAGUUUAUAAAUCACGUCACUUUGAAAUAAUUAUCUUUUCUUUCUUUCUUUUUCUUUUUUUGGCCACCCCAUGGCCAGGGAUCCGAUCUGCACUGCAGGUGGGACCUACCCCACAGUGGCAACGGCAGAUCCUUCAACCGCUGUGCUGGGCUGGGCAGAGAACCUGUGUCCCGGCGCUGCAGAGACCCGGACGAUCCCAUUGCACCACAGCAGGAACGCCAACAGUAGGAAAACCACCCGAUGUCUCCCAGGUGGCCCCCUCAGGACCUGGAAAAGCUUUUCCCUAAGGGCUCACACCUUCUUUCCUCUGUUCCCCCUCCCCGUGACACAUGCACCUGCAGGCUGAUUCCUUUGCAUCCCCCUUGGGACCUAGCCUAAAUGCGGCCCGGGGACACUCGCUGGCCAACCCGUCAGGGUUGGGAGCGCCUGGGGGCCAGGAUGCAAAGAGGAGUCUCCCGUGCUUAUUUCCUGCAGGAGACAAGCUUGCUGUGUGUUAAGUGGGAAAUUCACCUCAGUGAUCUGUCUUUUCAUCCGUCAGAUGAUUAGCAACAGGCCCUAUGCUCUCAGAUGAAGGGCUCACGGGACCCUGGGAAGCUGCGUUUGUCUCCUUUGGAGAAAGAAGGCUGAGGGUGGGACUUAGGUGGCAGAGGGUGUGGCCAUAACCUUUCCCCAGAUGGGAUGGGACGGGGGAACCAGAAAGGGAGGGGGCAGUCCAUGUCCUUUUCUUGGAUCAAAAUGGCAAAACAUGGGAUUUCAUUCUUCCCUCCCUUUUCUCCAAAAUCAACGGAUUUUACAGCCUAUUCUCAAUCGAUUCUACUAAACAGAAUGUGCAGAUUAAAAGUGAAAAAGGCAGAGAGCCGGUGACCCGGCUUCGGGUUGAGUCACCUUUGGUUUCUUCUUUCAAUCUGGAAGUCCUUUACCUCCCAGUAUUCAUCGUAAUGGCUGGUUUCAAAUACGUCUUUCUUUAGUCUCUCAAGGAAAGUGCUCAGCAUUUUUGGUCGUGAUUGGGUUGGGCAUCUUGUGGCCUCGGGACUCGUAUCCAGUUGGGGGUGGGGACAACCUGGGUGCCAGCCUGGCCUUGUAGCAGCAGCUCCAUCCUUACCACCUCGUGUGAGGUGUUGAUUUAAUGGGUCCAGGCAGAAAUCGGCCAGAUGAAUAAAAAAUUGAACCAGGAUCAGGGACAAGGCCAAGGAGAAGCAUCUGACAGCACCAGGGGGUCUUAUGAUCCACGAGGAACUUCAAAGCCAUCUGUCAUUACAGGGUAUCAAACUAAUUUUUUCUUUCGUGAACAGGUGUAUAUGUCCUGCAUAACUGGGAGAACUAAAUUUCACCUCUCGUGUUCCCUUUUCAUAGGUACAGCUAAGUAGAUAUUUUGACUGGAUAAGUUGUGGGCACGAGCGGGUAUGAAGAUUAUAAAUUAAUACCGUAAGGUCUGUACCUUAAGUAACAUCUUGCCUAUGGCCCUGGUGAUAGUUAUUUCUUACAGCCGUUCAGGUUAGAGCUUCAAAUAAAGGGGGGAAUUCGAAUGGAUCUGGGUCACGUGGAAUCUGUACAAAGCAAGAGCUAAAGCUUCUCCUGAAAGGAUACAGGAAUCCUGUGACCAGGUGGGGAGUUUGAGGUGGAGCAAAAGAGUCUGUAAUGAAAAGUGAAUUAAAGAACUGGUGCCUCUCCUAAUGACAAAGACCUCGGUAAAGUAGAAAUAUAAGAAGAAUUAGCAAAGUAGGUGAAUUUCUUGACACCUCUGUGUUAUAUGGUCGUCAGCCUGUUCCUCAUUUAUCUGCUUUGAGUCGACAGAGGGCUCUGGGUACACUGAAGAUGGUAGAGAGGCAGCUGUAUUAACAAACUGCCCAUUGCCAGCUGGUGAGGGGCCAUAUUUCCUAUAGGUCUAUGUAAUCAGAGGCUACAGAAUUUAAUCAAGGGCGGCAGUAUUUCACGCUUGUGAGGCCAUUACUGUGAAAUAUGGGGUUUUUUUUGUUAAGCACAAGAAAAGACCAGUACUUCCAUUGGAUUUUAAACCAAUACUAUUGAAACCUUUCAGAGAGCUUCCACGGUCCUUGCACCAUGGUGCUCAUCGAAUCCGAAAUCUUCUUCGUCUGAAAUCUGAAAACAUGUUUCCAAUGCAGAUGAAGCUCUCCAUCCUGCAUCCUGCAGAGGCGUCCUGCGGCUCCUGCAGGUGAGGAAGAAAGGUGUCAAUUGUUCACUUUUCAUACUUCCUCAAGUAGAAGGUGACAGCCAGGUGGCCCCUGUGUCGGGCUAAGCCAAUGUCAGGAAACACGGGGUCUGGCAGCUCACUGCUCUACAGCCAAUAAGCAGGCAUGGUUGAUGGAAAGGAAAGUUUGCUUUACUUCGGAUGCAGCAACUGGGGGAAGGCGGACUCCUGUCCAGAGGCCAAAUCCCUCUGCCCUCCCCCCUGCCCCACUGACAAUCAGUGGGCAGGAGCUGUUCUAGGCACAGGGAAGGGGCACAUGCAGAAACAGCACCAUCAGCUCUGACAGUCGCCUCGGACUUUGCUGUGCAGAGAUCUGACCAGUGCCAUCCUCACUGUUUUAAGUAUAGUCAGUCUUCAGUUCCAGGGUCGGUUUGUUAGCAUUUCCUUGAGCUGCAGUCUGGUCGGGAUGUAGUUUAUUUCUUCCACCUGGUGGGAGACUCAGUAUCUCCAAGACAGCUCAUAGGAUGUGGCUCAGAAUAGUGUUUAUAGCCCUUGAGAUGGAACUAAAGGUCCUUGACUUUGCUGAAUGACUUGGUCUCAUCUGACUGUUUUCUUUUGCUCCCAUAUUUUCUCACUUCUUUAAUUAAACUUAUUCUUUGACUAAAUUUUUUUCUACAGACAGAAGGCAGGCAGAGGACAUGGGGAGAGGGCCAUAGGGUCCUGUUCCAUUUCAAGAAGAGAGAGAGAAUCUUCAAUUAUAAUUAUUGUCUUAAUGUAAUUCUUUCUGACUUGUCUUCCAAGCCAAAAUAUCAAGGAGUGAUACUAGACAGUGUGUGGGGCCCAGAAGCCACAUACAAUUGCCAACACCCCGUUUCACUUUCACCUGGCAGCAGAGCUUUACAGUUUAGGGCCUGAAGCUCACGUCUUUAUGAGGAAGGACACAUAUAUAAGUUCUCUUAAAGAAAGGCACCAGAUAUAUUUUCAUGUGAGAGACUGAUAAUUCCCAUAGCAAAGAGGAAACCAUACCUCAAGAAGAUACACGCACCCCAGUGUUCAUUGCAGCACAAUUCCCCAUAGCCAAGACAAGGAAACAACUUAAAUGUCCAUCAGCAGAGGACUGGGUAAAGAAGAUGCAGUACAAACACAAUGGAAUAUUACUCAGCCACAAAAGAACGAAAUAAUGCCAUUUGGAGCAACGUGGAUGGACCCGGAGAUUAUCCUACUAAGUGAAGUAAUUCAGAAAGAGAAAGACAAAUACCACAUGAUAUUACUUAUACGUGGAAUAAAAAAAUGAUACCAAUGAACUUAUAUGCAAAACAGAAAUAGACCCGCAGACAUACCAAAAAAACUUAUGGUUACUAGACAGUGAAGGGCUAAGGGAGGGAUAAAUUAAGAAGUUAGGAUUAACGGAUGCAAACUACUAUAUCUAAAACAGAUAACCAACAAAGACUUACUGUAUAGUGCAGGGAACAAUACUUAAUAUUUUGUAAUAACCUAUAAGGGAAAAUAUGCUUAAUUGAAUCCAUUUGCUGUACACCUGAAAUGAACACAAGAUUGAAAAUCAACUAUAUUUCAAUUAAAAAAAAGUAGAAUUGUUGCAAU
rnacentral:lncRNA from 1 species